UCCAAACCCAGUGCCGCAUUAGGUUAGGGGGCUGGGCUUUUCGGUCCUCUCCAAUCAAUCGAGCUUCCGUUGGUCGCCUCCGCAUCCCCAAGCGCGCUGCCCUCAUAGGCGCACAACAUUAAGUAAUCCUUUUCUCUUAGUCUUCUUCUCCCAUUUUUCUAUUUUAUAUUUUAUUUACCUUUUCAGUUCUUAAACUCUCAAACUACACAUAUUUUUCUUUUUCUUUCAUUGCAAUUGUUUUGCAUUUCAUUAAAUACUUGGAAUGCAUUCAUUGAUAACACAAAAUGACAGCUUUGUUAUCAGUAUUAAUAUUUUCUUUUCGUUCUUUUUUGAAACUUUAGUAUCAACAUUCUUUUUAAAAAAAAAAUUAUCAACAGUUUUUUUCUUCUUAAGAAUAAAAUCUCCAUCAUGCUUAGCAGGAGAUUUUAGACUUUUCUUCUUUUUUUUCUUUCUCUAAAAUCUUAGCUCUUUUUGCCGUAGAAUGAGAAUCAUUUUUCUUACCCAUUACAUCUAAAUCUUUACUAGUAGAAGAAGAACAACUUUUCAAAUUCCUAAUAAUUUCUUAUCUAUUACACUUAAAAAUCAUUUGCAUGAAUUCAAAAAAUAAUAAAUAAUACCAAGUUAGAAAGAAGUUGAAAAAUAAAAAUAUAAAAUAUAAAAAAAUCGUUAAAAGAUCAAGUAACGAGAGGAUUUAGUAAAAAAAAUGGCCAGAGAGGUAAAAGAAAAUAGAAAAGCUGAAGGUUAUAUAAAAAACGAUUAAAAAAUAAAAAAAGUAAAAAGAAUAAAAAUAAACCGUAGGAGUGUAAUUUCGUCAAAAGAAAAAAAAGGCCCAAAUAUUAUGGUAAUAGUCUUAUUAUUAUUAUUUUUUUUAUGAAUUAGAAGAGAUUAUAUUGAUAUCGACGAGUCUUGAGCUUUUUAUUUUUUAUUUUAACUGAUACAGACGACAAACUUGCAUCAUCUUCUUGUUCUUCUUCCUCAUCGCCGAUAUUUUCCUCCCUCUUCAAACUCGGCAAACAUAAACAUAAUUUCCAUAACAACUCAAAAUAAGUACAAAGUCCUGAAAUAUAAUCAUGUAAGUACAAGGAUUUUGGAUUUAGUUGGUUGUGCCAGCACUUCUGUUCAAGUGGCUUCAAGUUUAAAUUUUCUUUUUUUUCUUUUUUUCUCCUUUUUAAUUCGGAUUAAUAUUGAAUUUAGUGAAUGUUUUCAGAAUCAGUUCUGUGGUUCUUUAAUUUAUUUUUGUCCAACUGAUUAUUUGUCUUCAAAAGGUUUAUUGCAUUGAGUGUCCAUAACUUUUUCUUUUUUGAAUUUGAUGUGUGGGCGGGGAUGUUGGUUUGCUUUGUGCAGACACUGAUUACGAUCUUUAGUUGGUCGUGCCGGCACUUCUUUUCAAGUGGGUUCAAGUUUAAACUUAUUUUUGCUUUUUUUUUUUUUUUCUAAUGGAAGUGGCUUCAAGUUUAAACAGAACUGAUUCUUAAAACAUUCGCUGCUUAAUUCAACAUUAAUCAGAAUCCAACUGAUUAUAUGUCUACAAAAAGUAUAUUGGGUUGAGUGUCUAUAAUAUUUUCUUUUUUGAAUUUGAUGUGCUUCUAGAUAUUGAAGGUGGGUUUUAAGCGAAAGCUUAAACCCUUGUCUGAUUUUUGCUAAAUUUUAUAAGCCAAACCAAUUUUAACAGAUUGUAAAUAAUACAGCAGCCUCGUUUUAAUUCUUAUCCUCCGUCUCAACUUCCCAAUCAAAUUCGACCCAACAACAACAAUAAUACUACUGCUCCUGUUAAUCCACAGGUUGUUUUACAUUAAUAUCUGUGUUUUAUAUGAUCAAUUUAGCUGUUUUUUUUUUAAAUGUAUCUUCAACUGUUCUAGUUUUAGGUUUCUCUAGCAAAUUUAUGCGACAUGCUGCAGAAUUUUAUGUCUAUGCCCAUCCAAAUGCACAACAAUUUCAACUGGGUAUCGUUAUGAAUCCUCAAUUUCAAUUUCCUUUCAACAAUCAUUCCAGUAUCUCAUCUUUCAUCACUCAACAUCAAUUUGGUUUAUGUCUAUGCACAACAAUUUCAACUGGGUAUUGUUAUGAAUCCUCAAUUUCAAUUUCCUUUCAACAAUCAUUCCAGUAUCUCAUCUUUCAUCACUCAACAUCAAUUUGGUUUACUUCAAAUGGGCUUUUCUCCACUGAAUCAUCUAAAUAAUCUGAAUAGAGUUCCCAUGUUUGUCAAUCAAUUCAACCCAUCCCAACUUCAACCCCAACAAUUUCCCUUUAAUUUACCUCAACAGCUCAAUCAAAAUGGGUUUUCCCAAUCUCCAAAGUAUGAAUCCUAUACUGCCUAUUCAAAUGCCAAAUCUGUCUCAACCUUUUAACCCUCAUAAUCCCAACUUUUUUUCCUAUUGGGCACCAACCCAACCCAAUGCAGCAAGUAAAGGAGAGCACAUCCUCAAUGCCGCAAACUCAAAGCUCACCGCACUUUCCUUCAUUUAAGCAGCAGCAGGUAUCAGAAGUCUCAAUUCCAUCAAAUUAAUAAUGGAAAGAGGAAGUCUGGUGAGCACAAGGGUAAAGGUUUGCGUCUCACAAGUAACAUCAUAGUAGUUUCUUCCGUAUUGCUGGCCACUGCGUGUUGAUUCACAAUGACAUCUUACAUGGUUUAUGGACCUGAAGUGGGUGUUGAAUUUACAAAUUGGUCAGCUUAUCCAAUUCACUGAAAGUUCUAUCCAGGAUUGCUGUUAUUUCUUCUUCUCAAAGGGCGCCUUCUGGAAAAAUUAAAGAAGCAUGUUGGAUCUCACCCAUUGAAUUAGACAAUCCUUCUAUUUUACUAGGGCUGUUGACUCCUUUUGUCUUUGAAUAUCUCAUUUUUGUAUACAGUAGAAGGUUAAAGGAACUCGAAGAGCUUGAGAGAAAACUCAAAAGCUUUUGUGUCUUUGCUUUAAAACCCUUGGAAUCUGUCACAAAUGUCCUUUUGAUAAUUGUUUAAAUAUGCCUGCCUCCUGCCACUCCCCCUUCCCCUUCUUUCCCUGUCUGUUUCGUUCUCCUUUUUUAUCAUAGUGUGUGCAUGUGUUUCUACAUUUCUUCGGCUGUAUAUUUAGGAUACAGUUUGCAUGACUCGUAAAUGUGUUUCUACAUUUACAUUUCUUCGGCUGUCUGCUUUGACUUUUACAUUUUUCCUUAAAAUUAAUAGGGCAUGGCUAUGAGAGCAUCACAAAAGCUGGUCGGACUAUGCUACUGAGCAAGCUAGGGAAAAGGUCUCUUGCUUUGAUCUAUAUGGAGCAAGAAAUCAAACUAUGGCGAAAAACUUCCAGUCGAAAGCUACAGAGAAGUGCAAUGAAAGGCCACCAAACUAUGUCGAGAGAUACUAUUCAUAUGUAUGCAUAUAUUUUCUUGAUUAAUGUUGUAAAUGAUUGCGUAUAUAUAAAGGCAAGAUCUUCCAUGCUCUCAACAAUGUUGCCAUUUCACGAAGAGCCUAUAUGAAUAUUUUGCACUUUCAAGAAUAUUAUAACUCUAGGUAAGAGGUAUGAAAUGGAUUUCUCUUACUUCCACAAUGUAUUUAUCACUUAUCAGUGUACAUCCAGUUAUAUAAUUGUUAACCUUUUGUUCCACACAGAAAUUUUUUCCUCAAUGGACUUUCCUAGAUAUUUUUUUUAUCCUGGUCUGUUUUGGGACAAUAUGGUUUUGGAUAAUUUGGACGCAAGUUGAUUGAAAGAAUCUCCCUGGACAUGGACAAGCUGCUAAUUCUCUCGACUCAAAGAGACAUUAGCAAAGCAGGCUGAGUUGGGAGUUGAAGUUGCAGAAAUACCGUCACGCUACCUAUCAGAUUCAGAGAAACAAGUAAAGGUUAAAGGGAGAUAAUAGGUCUGCUCCUAAGAAGGGGAGAUCCUGGCACAAGCAUGAUAGAAGAGGAAGAUAUAACAGAAAGGAUGGGUUGGCACACAGGAUACAUUAACAAACAAGGAUUCGACUAACGGUUCUUCAUUCAGCAAUACAAAGCCAACACUUCGGCAGAAGCUUCUGAGCGCAGAAGUAAGAAAAGAUAAAGACUGCUUGUUGCAGGUUCUUAGGUUCAUGGCAAUGAACUAUAAAGAAAUCCAGUCAAUAUAUAAGAGGUAUUUGAUCAAAUCAAGAAGAAGCUGCAAGACAACAAGAGAAGUUUCUCAUAUUUGUAGGCAAGAAAGAGAGGUUUAGAGAGAGAAAAAAUAUGCAAGGUUUUAAAACGAGAAUGUGUGACUGUGUGGGGUUGGUGUAGUGGCGAUGGUUUGGCUUCUUUUGAAUUGUAUUUAUUUCACAAAACAACUGUAGCAAGAUUGUUCAAUUUCGUGACAGUACUGGAAAUAGAGCUGGAGAUUUCAUCUUCUUAUCGGUAAGACUUGGCCUUUGCUUGUGCCUUGUAAUCCUAUUAACCCAUUUAGCUAUUUCUUUUCCAAAUUUGAGUGAAAUUGUUCAAUUUAGGAUA